rnacentral:rRNA from 1 species
GUUGUAUAGUCAAGUAAUUAAGUGCAUGUGGUGGAUGCCUUGGCAGUCAGAGGCGAUGAAAGACGUGAUAGCCUGCGAAAAGCUCCGGGGAGGCGGCAAAUAUCCUUUGAUCCGGAGAUGUCUGAAUGGGGGAACCCACCUACUUUAAGGUAGGUAUUGCAACAUGAAUACAUAGUGUUGCAAGGCGAACGAGGGGAAGUGAAACAUCUCAGUACCCUUAGGAAAAGAAAUCAAUUGAGAUUCCCUCAGUAGCGGCGAGCGAACGGGGAUCAGCCCAUUAAGUUAUGUGUGUUUUAGUGGAACGCUCUGGGAAGUGCGAACGUAGAGGGUGAUAUUCCCGUACACGAAAGGGCACACAUAAUGAUGACGAGUAGGGCGAGGCACGUGAAACCUUGUCUGAAUAUGGGGGGACCAUCCUCCAAGGCUAAAUACUCCUGACUGACCGAUAGUGAACCAGUACCGUGAGGGAAAGGCGAAAAGAACCCCUGUGAGGGGAGUGAAAUAGAUCCUGAAACCGCAUGCAUACAAGCAGUGGGAGCACCUUCGUGGUGUGACUGCGUACCUUUUGUAUAAUGGGUCAGCGACUUAUAUUCAGUAGCGAGGUUAACCGUAUAGGGGAGCCGUAGAGAAAUCGAGUCUUAAUAGGGCGUUUAGUUGCUGGGUAUAGACCCGAAACCAGGCGAUCUAUCCAUGAGCAGGUUGAAGGUUGGGUAACACUAACUGGAGGACCGAACCCACUGUCGUUGAAAAGCCAGGGGAUGACUUGUGGAUAGGGGUGAAAGGCUAAUCAAGCCUGGUGAUAGCUGGUUCUCCCCGAAAGCUAUUUAGGUAGCGCCUCGGACGAAUACCAUAGGGGGUAGAGCACUGUUUCGGCUAGGGGGUCAUCCCGACUUACCAAACCGAUGCAAACUCCGAAUACCUAUGAGUACUAUCCGGGAGACAGACUGCGGGUGCUAACGUCCGUAGUCAAGAGGAAAACAAUCCAGACCGCCAGCUAAGGCCCCAAAAUCAUAGUUAAGUGGGAAACGAUGUGGGAAGGCAUAGACAGCUAGGAGGUUGGCUUAGAAGCAGCCACCCUUUAAAG